ACCGUGAGGGAAAGGUGAAAAGAACCCCGGGAGGGGAGUGAAAUAGAACAUGAAACCAUAAACUUACAAGCAGUAGGAGGACGACUUAACGUCUGACUGCGUGCCUGUUGAAGAAUGAGCCGGCGACUUAUAGGCACUGGCGGGUUAAAUGUAGGAGCCAUAGCGAAAGCGAGUCUGAAUAGGGCGUUUGUCAUUGUUUAUAGACCCGAACCCGGAUGAUCUAACCAUGGUCAGGAUGAAGCUUAGGUAAAAUCAAGUGGAGGUCCGAACCGACUGAUGUUGAAAAAUCAGCGGAUGAAUUGUGGUUAGGGGUGAAAUGCCAAUCGAAUCCGGAGCUAGCUGGUUCUCCCCGAAAUGCGUUUUGGCGCAGCGGUAAAUGUUAUAAUCUAGGGGUAAAGCACUGUUACGUAUGCGGGCUGGUAAUUCGGUACCAAAUCGUUGCAAACUAAGAAUACUAAGUGAACAGUUUAUCAGUGAGACUGUGGGGGAUAAGCUCCAUUGUCAAGAGGGAAACAGCCCAGAGCACCAGUUAAGGCCCUUAAAUAAUUACUAAGUGAUAAAGGAAGUGGGAUUGCAUAAACAAUCAGGAGGUUUGCUUAGAAGCAGCAAUCCUUUAAAGAGUGCGUAAUAGCUCACUGAUCGAGUAAACCUGCGCCGAAAAUGAACGGGACUAAGUAAUUUGCCGAAACUGUGCGAUAUAUAAAUAUAUAUAUCGGUAGGGGAGCGUUCUGUUUUAGGUAGAAGUAUUAGCGUAAGCGGGUAUGGACGAAGCAGAAGUGAGAAUGUCGGCUUGAGUAACGAAAAUAUAGGUGAGAAUCCUAUACCCCGAAAACCCAAGGUUUCCUCCGGAAGGCUCGUCCGCGGAGGGUAAGUCAGGACCUAAGGCGAGACUGAAAAGUGUAGUCGAUGGACAACGGGUUAAUAUUCCCGUACCAUUUUUCAUUGAUAUCGAGGGACGGAGAAGGCUAAGCUAGCCGGAUAUUGGUUACCGGUUUAAACGUUCAAGAUGUUGAGAGGUGGAGAAAACACCUUGAGUUGAGGCGUGAAUACGAGAUGCUAAGGCGUCGAAGUAGUGUAUGUCAGACUUCCAAGAAAAGCUUGCACUGUCAUAAAUAAAAAAUGCCUGUACCAUAACCGACACAGGUGGGUAGGUAGAGUAUACUAAGGGGCGCGAGAUAACUCUCUCUAAGGAACUCGGCAAAAUAGCCUCGUAACUUCGGGAGAAGAGGUACCCUUUAUGGGUUGCAAGAACCAGACGCUGGCGACUGUUUACCAAAAACACAGGUCUCCGCAAAGUCGUAAGACGAUGUAUGGGGGCUGACACCUGCCCAGUGCCGGAAGGUUAAGGAAGCUUGUUAGUCUUUGACGAAGCUCGCGACCGAAGCCCCGGUGAACGGCGGCCGUAACUAUAACGGUCCUAAGGUAGCGAAAUUCCUUGUCGGGUAAGUUCCGACCCGCACGAAAGGUGUAACGAUCUG
rnacentral:rRNA from 1 species